GAUGAACGCUGGCGGCGUGCCUAAUACAUGCAAGUCGAGCGAACGAACGAGAAGCUUGCUUCUCUGAUGUUAGCGGCGGACGGGUGAGUAACACGUGGAUAACCUACCUAUAAGACUGGGAUAACUUCGGGAAACCGGAGCUAAUACCGGAUAAUAUUUUGAACCGCAUGGUUCAAAAGUGAAAGACGGUCUUGCUGUCACUUAUAGAUGGAUCCGCGCUGCAUUAGCUAGUUGGUAAGGUAACGGCUUACCAAGGCAACGAUGCAUAGCCGACCUGAGAGGGUGAUCGGCCACACUGGAACUGAGACACGGUCCAGACUCCUACGGGAGGCAGCAGUAGGGAAUCUUCCGCAAUGGGCGAAAGCCUGACGGAGCAACGCCGCGUGAGUGAUGAAGGUCUUCGGAUCGUAAAACUCUGUUAUUAGGGAAGAACAUAUGUGUAAGUAACUGUGCACAUCUUGACGGUACCUAAUCAGAAAGCCACGGCUAACUACGUG
rnacentral:rRNA from 1 species